CCCCGGAUAAAGAUAUUGAAUACUCAAUUCACAUUCUAAGCUUCAACAAAUUUGUUAUUUUAUUACAAGAGGCAUAAUAACAAAAAGUACAAGUAUUAAGAAAUAUUUUAAUAUUUUCCCAUUUGUAGUGACCCUAGGCUGUCCCUUAAAAUAAUAAAUAAUGAAAUAAAAAAAUAAUAAAUAUACCCAAAAUCUAAUGCCAAAUGCCAUAUUUUUUGCAGUAUUCUUUAAAUGGUCCUCUGUACUCAUCACCAUUAUCUGCUCCGACACAUUUUAACUGCCUUCGUGUUUCUCUUUCAACUUUCAAAUGAAAGCCUUUAAAUGCUUCUAGCUCUUGAUCUUUAGAUUUCAAAGAAUAUGCAAACACUUUUCUAGAGUGAUAAUUAAAUGUAACAUAAUACAAUGCACCACCUAAAGAUUUACUUUGCAUUGUGCAAACAUCAAUCUGAUCUAAAUCAAUAAUUAAUCUUUUUAGAUGUGGGAAUCUACGAAAUGCAACUCUGCUUUCUAACUAAAUAAUGAGUACAAAGUAUUAAUUAAUAAUGUACCUUUCACAUUGUGUAGAAGCUUCUUUCUGGCAAGAAUUUGAAGUCCUUUUUCACUCAUAUGGUCAAGCCGCUUAUGCCAUAACUCAGUGGAGGCUUCAUUUUCAACAUUAUUCACGUCUCCAUUGAUUAGUUUUGCUUCUAUUCUAUAGAGACCAUUAAUCUUUUUCCCUAUGGCUAAAACAAGAGAACCUUUUGUAAGUUUCAACUACUAUCUCCGAGGUAAUUAUGACAGUCGUCUUCAUCAAGCUUUCCAAUAGAAAUCAAGUUGUAGUGCAUAUCAGAAACAUUUUUGACACCCCUCAGAAGUAACUUGCUACUACUGUGUAGAACUCUCGAUAGUUGAGGGAAUAUUUUGUAUUAUUAUGUAAUUGAUAAUGUUUGAUUAGGUAAAUUUCUCUUCUUCUUUUUUCCAGAACCUUACCUUUUUUGGUCCUUUACUUGUACUCCAAAUUCAGUUCAUAAGGUUGUGAAUUAAUCAUCAGAAAGUAAUACGAUUAACUUUCAUAUUUCAUUCCAUUUUCUACAUGGUAUCAGAGCAAAGCUCUUUCCUAACCUAGCCAUAAGCCAUCAAUGGCAGAAAACAUGGAACAUAGCAAAGAGUCAACAACCUCGAAAUCUGGCAAUAGUGAAGUUGAAUCCCCCUCAGCCAUGAGCCUAAGUGGACUCGAUAAUUCAUCAUUCCAAUUCACAGUGGAAAAAUUGAAUGCAAAAAAUUAUCAAGAACGAGCUCAAUCAAUUAAACUUAUCCUCAACGAAAAAGGAAGAGUAGGAUAUCUUACCGGAGAGAAGAAGAAAUCUGCCCCGUCCGACAUCGUCCUUUUACAGAGAUGGCAGUUAGAAAACUUGAUGGUAGCAGCGUGGAUGGUUAACACCAUGACUCUUGCAAUUAGAAAAACUUACCUUCGCAAAUAACGUGCAGGACGCCGUGCGGGACAUGUACUCAGACAUCGAAAACUCAUAAAAAAGCUUUGAAAUCAAAACUAGAUUGUGGCAAGCAAAACAAAGGAAAAUAGAGGUGACAGAAUACUAUCUUGAAAUGAAUUCCCUCUAGUAAAAACUAGACCAAAACCUUGAAGAAGAAUGGGAUAGCCCAAUUGACAGCGUACGGUGUAAGAAAAAAUUGAAAAACGAAAGGGUAUAUGUUCUGGCCAGCUUGAAUCGAGACCUUGAUGACAUAAGGGGUUGGAUUGUGAGCAAGUGGCCCUCGCCGUCGUCACGUGAAGCCAGACGUAAAGUGGUGUUGAAGGAAGGAAGGAACGAUGGGUUGGAAGAAGACGACGUCGGGUCUGCCUUAAU
rnacentral:lncRNA from 1 species